GACGCACGAAAGCAAUCCCAGCCUGCCUUGACACCGCAUUCCCACAGCCCCGGCCAAGCGCUCCGAGGGGCCAGAGCCAGAAAAUAUCGCUAUUGGCUCCGUGGAAAAGUUCAGAGCUAAAAACCUUGGAUUGCUGACAGGACAUGUGACGGAGCAGCCCCGGCUGAGGAGCCGUCCAGCACCUUUCAUGUCUCAAAAUAUCUCUGCUGUUGGUACCCUUGGUUCUGAGCAUGUGAUGGCAUUUCCACCUUUUCAAGAAGCCUGAUGAACUCAACACACUUACACAAAACUGAAGCACAACCUACAUCUUUCUUCAGGACCUCACACCUGAGGAUGCCUCAAAGAAAGCCCAUCUUUUUGAGCCCCUGUUUGUUCUUGGCUUCAGUCUUCUCUGGGUGGAUCUGGCAGAGCAAGGCCAGAAUGGAACAUCAGUGAAUAAGUGUGCUGGCGUCACUGAAAAAUGAAAACAAUUGGAAAAUGACAAUCAAAGGAAGGUGAAAGAUCUAGUCCCAGGGCUUCCUGCUGCAGCUGAGAGUUUAUUCAGAUGGCCCCCAGAUAAUCUAAGCCAGAGAUAGGGCACACUGACUUAUUAUGGUGUUUAUUCCCUUGGCUUUUUUAGCUGUCAGAUGCAAGUGCAGUCUGUCCUGGAUACCCUCCCACUUGCACACAUCUUCAGGUUUAGGCUUUGAUUUAUGGUGCUGCUAUGGAAGCAACAUGGAAUUUACAAAUGAGAGAUAUAAAUAAAUGAGAAAGAGCAAGAAAUUUC